CUAUCCUCCUCUCUGCCUCAGCUCGUCACCUACGACCUCCCCACCCUCCCCGUACCCGCUAUCACCUCCGCCGCCUCCACCAACGACGAUGAAGACCCUGUCUUCGCCUAAAUCCUCCAUCUCUUUUGCCGGCCAUCUCGCUGAGCUAGAGCACUUGCUUGAAACCACAUCCUCGUCUUCCAAUCGUUCUAGCCUAUCCGCCUUGGUGGAUAAUCUUAGGGCUUAUUUGCGGAUUAUCGAUGUAGCUUCAAUUCUAGGGCUCGAAUACCAUAUAUCAGACAACGCAUUUCAGCUAUUCUAGGACUGUUCUUCCUCCACAUGCUUUAGGAAUCGCAGUGUUGAAGCCCUCACUACUACUGCUCUUAUUCAAGCUAUCAGGGAAGCUCAAGAACCCAGAACUCUCAAGGUUGAAAGAAGGGAUGGAGGAGGGAAAAGACAAGAAUGAUUUUUCAUGGCAAAAAGUGUUGUGAACAAAAAUACAACGUGGUGUGCAAAUCAUUUUUCAUUAUGUUCUACUUUUUUUCUAUUGCUACUGAGUUGCUGUCAUCUUUUAAACUAGAGGAUGUAUGGAACAAUUGGCUUAGCAUAAAACAUCUAAUUUUAUACUUUACACUCA